ACACGCAUGACACACUGCAUAUCAAUAAGCGGAGGAAAAGAAACUAACAAGGAUUCCCUUAGUAACGGCGAGUGAAGCGGGAAGAGCUCAAAUUUGAAAUCUUCAAGGUUCUACCUUGACGAAUUGUAGUUUAUAGAAGUGUUUUCUGUUAGUAGAGUGGCAAAAGUUCUUUGGAAUAGGACAUCAUAGAGGGUGAGAAUCCCGUAUUUGGUCAUUCUUUCUAGCUUUGUGAUACACUUUCAACGAGUCGGAUUGUUUGGGAAUGCAGUCCAAAAUGGGUGGUAAAUUUCAUCUAAAGCUAAAUAUUGGCGAGAGACCGAUAGCGAACAAGUACCGUGAGGGAAAGAUGAAAAGAACUUUGAAAAGAGAGUUAAACAGUACGUGAAAUUGUCAAAAGGGAAGCGUUUGACACCAGUGUUGUUUUUCCGAAAAUCAAUUACGAAUGUUUUGUUUUUGAGAAGUUAUGACUUCAUCGGCUUGCUUCUCUCUUUACGAAACUUUCUUAAUGCACUUUUCGGUUAACAAGUCAACAUCAAUUUCUUUUGUUGUAAAAGGGUAUGAGGAAGGUGGCUUUCUUUUCGGAGAAAGUGUUUAUAGCCUUGUACCUCUGCAAUCGGAGAGAUUGAGGUCUGCAGCGUAGAUCCUUCGGGGUUAGAUACACUUGUGCUAAGCUAUAGCCUUGUAUAGACAACUUGUUGACUAUGCUCAGUCAUGUAGCUUACUCGCUUGUGCUAUUUUACCUACGCUUAGGAUGUUGACUGAUAUGUAGUCGUA
rnacentral:rRNA from 1 species